rnacentral:rRNA from 1 species
GAGUUUGAUUAUGGCUCAGGACGAACGCUAGCUACAGGCUUAACACAUGCAAGUCGAGGGGCAGCAUUAUCUUAGCUUGCUAAGAUAGAUGGCGACCGGCGCACGGGUGAGUAACACGUAUCCAACCUUCCGGUUACUCGGGGAUAGGCUUUCGAAAGAAAGAUUAAUACCCGAUGUUGCGUAUCUUUCUCCUGAAAGAUACGCCAAAGGAUUCCGGUAACCGAUGGGGAUGCGUUCCAUUAGGCAGUUGGCGGGGUAACGGCCCACCAAACCUUCGAUGGAUAGGGGUUCUGAGAGGAAGGUCCCCCACAUUGGAACUGAGACACGGUCCAAACUCCUACGGGAGGCAGCAGUGAGGAAUAUUGGUCAAUGGACGCAAGUCUGAACCAGCCAAGUAGCGUGAAGGAUGACUGCCCUCUGGGUUGUAAACUUCUUUUAUACGGGAAUAACAUGAGGUACGCGUACCUUAUUGCAUGUACCGUAUGAAUAAGC